rnacentral:rRNA from 1 species
GUAGGUGGCAAGCGUUGUCCGGAAUUAUUGGGCGUAAAGCGCGCGCAGGCGGUCCUUUAAGUCUGAUGUGAAAGCCCACGGCUCAACCGUGGAGGGUCAUUGGAAACUGGGGGACUUGAGUACAGAAGAGGAAAGCGGAAUUCCAAGUGCAGCGGUGAAAUGCGUAGAGAUUUGGAGGAACACCAGUGGCGAAGGCGGCUUUCUGGUCUGUAACUGACGCUGAGGCGCGAAAGCGUGGGGAGCAAACAGGGAUUAGAUACCCUGGUAGUCCACGCCGUAAACGAUGAGUGCUAAGUGUUAGGGGGUUUCCGCCCCCUUAGUGCUGCAGCUAACGCAUUAAGCACUCCGCCUGGGGAUACGGCAGCAAGGCUG